GAGUGCUUUGGCCGCUGUCUGGACCUUGGUGGGGCCUUUCAGCAGGAAGAGGCUCAGCCUGGGCCGCCUCAGGGCCAUCUGAGAUCUCAGGAGGGUCUCACCUCUGUGGCUUCGUAAAGUGCUUGAGAUGGAGCCCAGAGCCUCAGUCAUGCUGGGCAAAUGCUCCAGCCUGAGUUGUGCCUCAGGCUUCCCUGGAACCCUUGACCGCUGAGGCCAGGUGUGGGGUCCCAGACAAGCCUCUCAGUGCAGGAUCACACAGUUGCCGAGAUUGAAUAUGGAAACCUUUGGAAAGUACAGGACUAAAGAGAAACUGAAAGUGUGAGAAGUUAACUGAAGUGCAGUCUGAAAGGAAGAUAGAACAUCAUCCACAGUAUACAAUGUGAAAAUGACCCAGCUGCCACACAGCCUUUGAGGAACACAUUUAUUUAUCAUGUGAGGACCUGUGCACACAGAUCAGCACCAAUACCAUCCUGGCAGGGGAGAAAUCGAAGUCCCUUCACUAAUAGGCACUGCUUUGUUAUCUCCACAAAGAGAAGCUGAUGACCUGAAAGUAAGACGUGUAGAUGGUCCAGGUAAGAUUUGAGAAUGGUGGGGAAAAUAUGCCAUUGCCCUGAAUAAGCUACUCGGUAACAUCUAAUCCUGAAGAAAGGCAUUUCCUGACACUUGUGUAUUGCUAUAAUGGUACACCGGAUGUGAACUAUGUCUCCAAAUAAUUUGCUCUCCAAGAAACAAAAAUCUAUCCCUCUACUGCUAUUACCAGAAUGCUCUAGACAAAUACAUGCAAUUUCAUGUCCUUUUGCUGAAGCAAAUCAGCUGAAUUUUAUGCUGUCAUUUUCCCCAGCGAAGCCGAUGUCAUUACCAUCCGAAGGCAGCAACUCUGCAGUUAUCACAUGUCCUCCCGAAUCCUUCCCUCAAAUGUCAGUGUCGUCAGAUGCAUUCCAUGGGUUGCACUCAAAGAACAGCUCUGUUACACUGCCACCCUGAAUCAAGCUUACAAAAGAAGGACAGAGUUUUCCUGGCAAGAACUUAGAUUCCAAUUCCUGUGCCUAAUUCUAGGGUAUCAACAGCGCAGAGCACCCGGGGUCCAAGGCAGGUCGUGUUCCCGUCGUGGGCCCCUCUCUGUGUGCUACUGAUUUAGGCUUGAUAAUGCAUGGGGCCUGAAAUCCCAACCGUCCGCAGCCAAGCUCAGCGAGAUGGCCACACCUUCCCCAUGCACAUCCUCAGGCCUAUUAACUUUAAUGUAACUUAUAUGACAGUAAAAAUAUUCAUAAACUUGAAGACAACCUUGCUCCUUCUAGAGCUUUUCCAUUUCAAAGCAUACUUUUAUAUAAAGUACGGUUAUUUGAGCAAAAGAAGAAGUAUUUCUUUCCAUAACUUUCUUCCUAAACAGAUGAGCAAGAAUGUAUUGUAUGAUAAUUAUAAUUUCAACCAUUUUAAAGCCCCGUUCUCUAGUAGAUGAACGUACUGUGUGCCUCUUUAUCUGUAAAGCAGCAUAGUCAAGUUACUUAAGUGCUUCUUGUCUUCAUCUGUCUGGGUUGCUUUGAUGCCGUACCACAGCCUGCGUGGCUUAUCAACGCCAGGAGCUCAGCUGUUACGGCUCUGGAGGCUGAGGUCUGAGACCCGAGCACCACCGAGGCUGGGAUUCCUGGAGCACUCUCUUCUGGGGUGUCGACGACUGAUUUCUGUCCUCACCCAGGGAAAGAGCACAUGCUCCUCUCUGGCCCGGAUGAGGCCACCACCCCUGCUUACUGGGGUGAUAAGCUUCUAGUCCCAAACGCUGAGCACCAUGGUGUCAGAAGUCAGCUUUCAGGGUGGACGUGAGGUGGAGGAUGCAAACCCCAGUGUGCACGGCCUCUCCAGGGACCGUAGGACCCCAGGAAACCCAGGGCGAUGGCUCUGCUGCCUCCAAGUACCACCCAUUGGACCAGGGUCUGUGGAGAUGGGGACAGGGCUCUCCACCUGUUCUACUGAGGAGACCUUCAGGAGAGGCCCCGUGCCUGUGUGCCCUCGG